AAAGGCCCUUCGGGGUGCUCGAGUGGCGAACGGGUGAGUAACACGUGGGUGAUCUGCCCUGCACUUUGGGAUAAGCCUGGGAAACUGGGUCUAAUACCGAAUAGGACUCCGGCCUUCAUGGGUUGGGGUGGAAAGCUUUUGCGGUGUGGGAUGGGCCCGCGGCCUAUCAGCUUGUUGGUGGGGUAAUGGCCUACCAAGGCGACGACGGGUAGCCGGCCUGAGAGGGUGACCGGCCACACUGGGACUGAGAUACGGCCCAGACUCCUACGGGAGGCAGCAGUGGGGAAUAUUGCACAAUGGGCGCAAGCCUGAUGCAGCGACGCCGCGUGAGGGAUGACGGCCUUCGGGUUGUAAACCUCUUUCAGCACAGACGAAGCGCAAGUGACGGUAUGUGCAGAAGAAGGACCGGCCAACUACGUGCCAGCAGCCGCGGUAAUACGUAGGGUCCGAGCGUUGUCCGGAAUUACUGGGCGUAAAGAGCUCGUAGGUGGUUUGUCGCGUUGUUCGUGAAAACUCACAGCUUAACUGUGGGCGUGCGGGCGAUACGGGCAGACUGGAGUACUGCAGGGGAGACUGGAAUUCCUGGUGUAGCGGUGGAAUGCGCAGAUAUCAGGAGGAACACCGGUGGCGAAGGCGGGUCUCUGGGCAGUAACUGACGCUGAGGAGCGAAAGCGUGGGGAGCGAACAGGAUUAGAUACCCUGGUAGUCCACGCCGUAAACGGUGGGUACUAGGUGUGGGUUUCCUUCCUUGGGAUCCGUGCCGUAACUAACGCAUUAAAGUACCCCGCCUGGGGAGUACGGCCGCAAGCU
rnacentral:rRNA from 1 species